GAUGACUGGGGUGAAGUCGUAACAAGGUAGCCGUAGGGGAACCUGCGGCUGGAUCACCUCCUUUAAAGA
rnacentral:rRNA from 1 species